AUUGAACGCUGGCGGCAUGCCUAACACAUGCAAGUCGAGCGAGCGGCGAACGGGUGAGUAAUGUAUGGGGACUUCCCGAUAGAGGGGGAUAACUACUGGAAACGGUGGCUAAUACCGCCUACUCUCGGAUAACCACUAUGGGAUUAGCUAGUCGGUGGGGUCAAGGCUCACCUAGGCGACCAUCACUAGCUGGUCGUAGAGGAUGAUCAGACACAAUGGGACUGAGACACGGCCCGGACUCCAAGGGAGGCAGCAGUGGGGAUUAUUGCACAAUGGGCGCAAGCCUGAUGCAGCCAUGCCGCGUGUAUGAAGAAGGCCUUAGGGUUUCAAAGUACUUUCAGCGGGGAGGCGUUACCCGAAGAAGAAGCACCGGCUAACUCCGUGCCAGCAGCCGCGGUAAUAC
rnacentral:rRNA from 1 species